rnacentral:rRNA from 1 species
GAACGCUGGCGGCGUGCCUAAUACAUGCAAGUCGAGCGAACAGACGAGGAGCUUGCUCCUCUGACGUUAGCGGCGGACGGGUGAGUAACACGUGGAUAACCUACCUAUAAGACUGGGAUAACUUCGGGAAACCGGAGCUAAUACCGGAUAAUAUAUUGAACCGCAUGGUUCAAUAGUGAAAGACGGUUUUGCUGUCACUUAUAGAUGGAUCCGCGCCGCAUUAGCUAGUUGGUAAGGUAACGGCUUACCAAGGCAACGAUGCGUAGCCGACCUGAGAGGGUGAUCGGCCACACUGGAACUGAGACACGGUCCAGACUCCUACGGGAGGCAGCAGUAGGGAAUCUUCCGCAAUGGGCGAAAGCCUGACGGAGCAACGCCGCGUGAGUGAUGAAGGUCUUCGGAUCGUAAAACUCUGUUAUUAGGGAAGAACAAAUGUGUAAGUAACUAUGCACGUCUUGACGGCACCUAAUCAGAAAGCCACGGCUAACUACGUG